GCCUGGGUGGCUCAGUCGGUUGAGUGUCUGACUUCAGCUCAGGUCACGAUCUCACGGUUCGUGAGUUCGAGCCCCGCGUCAGGCU
rnacentral:tRNA from 1 species